AUUAAACGCUGGCGGCAUGCCUUACACAUGCAAGUCGAACGGCAGCACGGGGGCAACCCUGGUGGCGAGUGGCGGACGGGUGAGUAAAGCAUCGGAACGUAUCCUGGAGUGGGGGGAUAACGUAGCGAAAGUUACGCUAAUACCGCAUAUUCUGUGAGCAGGAAAGCAGGGGAUCGCAAGACCUUGCGCUCUGGGAGCGGCCGAUGUCAGAUUAGCUAGUUGGUGGGUAAAGGCCUACCAAGGCGACGAUCCGUAGCGGGUCUGAGAGGAUGAUCCGCCACACUGGGACUGAGACACGGCCCAGACUCCUACGGGAGGCAGCAGUGGGAAUUUUGGACAAUGGCGAAGCCUGAUCCAGCCAUGCCGCGUGAGUGAAGAAGGCCUUCGGUUGUAAGUACGUCUUUCGGUCC
rnacentral:rRNA from 1 species